GCUCCGUAGGUGAACCUGCGGAGGGAUCAUUACAGAGUUCUCGCCCUCACGGGUAGAUCUCCCACCCAAUCUUAUCGUUACCACUGUUUCUUUGGCGGGCCGCCGGGCCCUGCUCGGCCGCCGGCUCCGGCUGGCGCGCGCCCGCCAGAGGCCCUUUAAACCCUGAAUGUCAGUGUCGUCUGAGUACUAUACGAUAGUUAAAACUUUCAACAACGGAUCUCUUGGUUCUG
rnacentral:misc_RNA from 1 species